rnacentral:tRNA from 1 species
GCCUCAUUAGCUCAGGGGUAGAGCAGCAGAUUUCUAAACUGAAGGUCGUGAGUUCGAAUCACUCAUGAGGCU